AUGAUUACAAAAUACAAGAGUGAAGCUGGCAGCAUGGAUAUGCCAAAGAGUAGAUAUAAAGUGCUUCCUUUAAGUGAAAAGGUGAACAUUUUUGAUUUAAUAAGGAAAAAACAUAAAAAAUAAUAU